rnacentral:rRNA from 1 species
GCAGUCUGCAACUCGACUGCAUGAAGCUGGAAUCGCUAGUAAUCGCGGAUCAGAAUGCCGCGGUGAAUACGUUCCCGGGCCUUGUACACACCGCCCGUCAAGCCAUGGAAGCCGGGGGUGCCUGAAGUGCGCUGCCGCAAGGAGCGCCCUAGGGUAAAACCGGUGACUGGGGCUAAGUCGUAACAAGGUAAC